ACGAUGGUAGUCAAGGAGUCACUGCAAAGAACAAAGUCAUCAGAAACACCUAAACAUAUAUGUAUGUCCAAUGAUGUUGCAAUGCUUUUAAUAUUACAUAAAAUAUCAAAAAUACCAGCAUAACGUGAAGGACUAAUAAAAAGUUGAACUAAUGGAAGAUUUCCAGCUUUUUUCAAUGCAGCAUGGGAAGAAAAUAGCUCAGCGAAAAUAGUCAGCAAAUUCCCAACGAUUGAGAAAUGUAGAAAAUUAUUUGCAUCUUCGUGGCCCAUAUUUGAGUCCUUUAUCAAUGAAAUCGUGGCUUGUUUCAGUGAGACUAUAGUAA